UGCGGGAUGGAGGAGUUGGAGCCUCUAAGGCGCCCAUAACCCCGAGACGCGGGUUCAAGUCCCGCUCCCGCAACCA
rnacentral:tRNA from 1 species